UACAGAGGGGGCAAGCGUUUAUUCGGAAUUAUUGGGCGUAAAGGGCGCGUAGGCGGCCUGGCAAGUGGAAGGUGAAAUCCCCUCGGCUUAACCGAGGAACUGCCCUCCAAACUGCUUGGCUUGAGUCCGGGAGAGGUGAGUGGAAUUCCCCAGUGUAGCGGUGAAAUGCGCAGAUAUCAGGAGGAACACCGAUGGCGAAGGCAGGUCUCUGGGCCGAUACUGACGCUGAGGAGCGAAAGCGGUGGGGAGCGAAC
rnacentral:rRNA from 1 species